CAAAGGGAGGCAUUUCGUUUUGAGAAGCAAAAUGCAUUCGUUACGCCUUCCCGAGUAUUUCGGACGGAUUAGAGAGGGUAACGUGGCUAAAAACGGCACGGCGAGGAUUGCUGCGGGUCAACCACAGGAAAGUAUCUCAGGAAUUACGACAGCGUUUUGUAAACUUACGGGAUGAUUACAGUGUACAAAGACUUAUAGGAAAAGUGUAAUACGAGGGAAUUCACAGCGUUUUUGCCUACGAAAGGCACGUCCCCUCCCCCUUUUUUUUUUCCAAUGAAAAUAAGGCCAUAAGGCGAUAAUUCUUCUCAAAAUUUGCCAGGAAUGCAGCUUCAGAAACGCACGGUGAUUGUUUGGAUUUAAAAUAUUUCGGGCUCAGAAGGUCUUUACCGGCGUUUGUUCUUUUCUGUGCGCUUUUUAAAUUUAUAUAUAUAUAUAUAUUUUCUGUUAUGGAAAGGAGCUAUACGAAUCCAUCUAUUAGAAAAAAAAAUCUAAAUACGUUUCCUUCAGCACCGUAAUAGAAGGAAGUGUAACAAUAGCUAUCUACGAUUUUUCAAAUAUUAAUUUACCUCAUAAUUUGAAGUGAUUUUUGAUAACGGCAAGGGGGAACCCUUGUGCUGUGAUACGGAACAGGCUAUGUAUUGUCCCAAACCUGAAGCAGUAUGGUUGUUACUUUACUAGGAAACUGCAGAAUACGUGUAAAAAGAAAGGGCAAAUUUAAACAGAAUCCAAGGCAAGGUUAUUCUGACUUUUUUUGUUGUAUUUAAUCUGAUUGCGUUAUUUCAAAGACUUGAACUUCUCUCGAAAGGCUGUGGUCAUCUGGGAGUAGAAAAUUUUAGAUUGUUUUUUAAUAUCAAUUACCGAAACCCUUUCCUUACUCUAUCACCUCUUAGUCGCAGAGAUGGAAACGUUUCAGGGGGUGUUUUUUUUAUUUAUUUAUUUUUUUUUUCAACUUCCCAAUCCACCCGUUUACUUUGAACAUUAGAAUAAAAUGGCUUCGGACCGAAAGAAAAAAAUCUACCCUGCUCUGAAGAUAAACCACGGUAUUUUGCAUCCCUUUGCGACGAUGGACCGGUCCAUCUGCAGUCAGACUCUGACUCCUGUAGUUGCAACAAGCAGAAAUAUCGGGGGCGUUUUUCAAAGCAGGAAGCUUAUUCCAGCAAGAUAACUUCUCUUUCUCGAGCACUAUUUUCUUGCCCUUUUGCAGCCAAACGAUUUGUUGUUCUAACACACUCCCAGCAUCUUUACAAGCGCGGAGGGUUUCUUAUAACGCUGUGUGUCCUAAAACCCUGCCUCUCCAGUACUCUGUGCCCCCCGCUCUGCUUCGCUGAAGCCCUUCUAAAAUUUAGUUUGUAUUUACUGCUCGUAGCUUGCUGCUGGAAGACAAUAGAGGCAGAUUUGGCAGUAAAGGGGGCGUAAGGAAUUAUUAUCGUAGACCGUCAAAUAUUUCAGAAAUUGACCGACUGGCGAUGCUGCCAUAAAUGUCUCUUUUUCUGCACAUGAAUGCUCUGUGAGGUUUUCCCGACACGUGAAAGUGCGCACUCAUUCGUUUCUUUUUUUCCCAUGUACCCAGAUACAGGUGCAGGAGACUUCUGACAAAGCCAGGGUACGGGAGAGGGGUGUCUGGACCCAGCGGCGGGCUCUAAAACGGGUGCGAGAGCGAAUUUCCCACCGCUUCCCACCCAGACCCACUGGGAACUGGGUCAUUAGCGUCGGUGGCAGGAAGCAGGUUCCAGUCACCUUUCAUGUGCCAGUAUUUUAUGUGGGAUUGAUCCGAGCGGUGGAGGUAACAUCCCCAGCGAUUCCUUGAAAGUGCGGUGUUAUUAAACAAUGCGGUUAUGCCUGCGGCCGGCAACAUCUCGGGCGAUGUUCCCAUGCAAAGUUCACCCGCAACCCGGAAUGCCGCUUCACACAUUUAAAAAAAAAAAAAAAAAAAAAAAAAGAGAAGCCCGCCCAAACAUUCCCAUGUCGACUUACAUUUAAAAGUAUCGCUACAACUGAUGCCUUGAACUUGACCUUAGAUUUGUUAAUCCAGGAAAUAUAUUCA